rnacentral:rRNA from 1 species
AACGAACGCUGGCGGCAGGCCUAACACAUGCAAGUCGAGCGCGCCCUUCGGGGUGAGCGGCGGACGGGUUAGUAACGCGUGGGAAUAUACCCAGUUCUACGGAAUAGCCUCGGGAAACUGAGAGUAAUACCGUAUACGCCCUUCGGGGGAAAGAUUUAUCGGAAUUGGAUUAGCCCGCGUUAGAUUAGGUAGUUGGUGGGGUAAUGGCCUACCAAGCCUACGAUCUAUAGCUGGUUUGAGAGGAUGAUCAGCAACACUGGGACUGAGACACGGCCCAGACUCCUACGGGAGGCAGCAGUGGGGAAUCUUGGACAAUGGGCGCAAGCCUGAUCCAGCCAUGCCGCGUGAGUGACGAAGGCCCUAGGGUCGUAAAGCUCUUUCAACUGUGAAGAUAAUGACGGUAGCAGUAGAAGAAACCCCGGCUAACUCCGUGCCAGCCGCCGCCGUAACAC